rnacentral:lncRNA from 1 species
UUUUCACUUUUGGAUCUGUGUGCAGUUAAGUAUGUGAAUCCAAUCACUAAUGUGUGCUUAUUAGAGCUUCAAGAGAGGAGCAUGAAAAAGUAUGGGCUUCUAUCUAUGGUUAGAAGUAUUGGAAAUUUUCCAGUGGUGUUAAUUUACUUGAUUAUCUGGUAAGAACAAAUACUACAGAUGGACUGUGUUUUGUAACAUUUAGAUACAGAUUGCAUUGCUUUCUUUAUUUUUCAAUUAACAAGAAUUCAUGAUGCAUCACGCUAUCAUGUUCUGCAUAUUAGUUUGAUCCAGGAACGUAAAUCUAAUGAAAUUGUAACUUUGUUCAGGAAUUUACAGGCUUCUAAAACCGCCGCAUUGAAGUGCGAAAAGCAAAAUUUGAACAGUACAAACUUAUGGUUGGUGAUCGAUUGUCAGCUGACGAUACUCAUCGUAUGAAUAAUCAUCUUGCAAAGAUUGAACUUUGG